CCUACGGGUGGCUGCAGUGGGGAAUAUUGGACAAUGGGGGCAACCCUGAUCCAGCCAUGCCGCGUGUGUGAAGAAGGCCCUCGGGUUGUAAAGCACUUUCAGUGAGGAAGAACGCCUGGUGGUUAAUACCCAUCAGGAAAGACAUCACUCACAGAAGAAGCACCGGCUAACUCCGUGCCAGCAGCCGCGGUAAUACGGAGGGUGCGAGCGUUAAUCGGAAUUACUGGGCGUAAAGCGCGCGUAGGUGGCUUGAUAAGCCGGUUGUGAAAGCCCCGGGCUCAACCUGGGAACGGCAUCCGGAACUGUCAAGCUAGAGUGCAGGAGAGGAAGGUAGAAUUCCCGGUGUAGCGGUGAAAUGCGUAGAGAUCGGGAGGAAUACCCGUGGCGAAGGCGGCCUUCUGGACUGACACUGACACUGAGGUGCGAAAGCGUGGGUAGCAAACAGGAUUAGAUACCCGUGUAGUC
rnacentral:rRNA from 1 species